rnacentral:lncRNA from 1 species
GUUUAGUUUAGUUUAGUUUAGUUUAGUUUAGUUUAGUUUUUUAAGACAGGGUCUCGCUCUGUCACCCAGGCUGGAGUGCAAUGGCAUGUUCAUGGCUCACUGCAACCUUGACGUCCCAGGUUCAAGCGAUUCUCUCACUUUUGUCUCCCAAGUAGCUGGAACUACAGGCAUGCACCACCAUGCCUGGCUAAUUUAAACAUUUUUUGUAGAGAAGGGGUUUACCAGUGUGGCCCACGCUGGUCUUGAACUCCUGGGCUCAAGCGAUCCUCCUGCUUUGGCCUCCCAAAUUGUUGGGAUUAUAGGCGUGAGCCACUGCACCUGGUCCCCCAGAAGCUAAAGGAUGGUGCAGGUUCUGUUUUUAAAUGUACCUGUUAAGUAUGUAUUAGCUCAAACAGAGUUUACCUGAGAUGUGCAUCUGGGGUCCACCCUCUUUGGCACUGUCCCUCAUUUUCCUCCUCCAACAUUCUCCCAAUCUCUCUCUGUUAACCCCAACAACCUGCCACCCCUCCCUAACAAAGGAUUCCCAGCUCAAGGCCAAUUCCAAUUGGAUCGAGUUUUUCUUCUGCAGAAAUUGUGGGGAGGUGGCUUCAGAGGCUCACAAGCAGAACCCCACCCAGACACAUAAACUUUUCUUUGGCUGGUACCAACUCCUCUAUUGCAGGGUAUGGUCCAAGUAGGUUAUACAAGUCUCUACCUCUUCUAGCUGAAGCCAACCUCCCAGGAAAAGGAUGAGAGGAGAAAGCCAUCCUGCCUGGUGUGUGGAUAAUACCACCACCAGAGUCUCCUGUAAUUUUGAUUCGAUGGCAUGCAGCUGCGUGACCUAAGGCACGUAUCUCCAUUCACAGGGUGUGGUCAGUACUCUGUGAAUAUCAGGUGUUCUGUCUGCCCUGUCUCCUGUCUUCCUGGAGCCUGCCCUUACCCAGUGAGUCCCUGGAGGGAACAUUCUGGCAUCUGGCUGUGAGCUGUCACAGACAUGGGUUUCUUUCGGUUCCCAGAAUGAUGGGAUGCCAGCCGCUGGCUGCCCCCAAGAAACUUGGGAGCAGGACAGGCUUGGCUGUCCCAGAGGAAGAGCCUGGCAUUGGGCCAGGAGGCUCAGGAGGGAAGAUGAGCUCAUUCUGCCCAGCUCGGUUCUCCCGUAUGCAGACCAGGUCAUCACAGGGACCUGCCUCCACAUUUGCAUCCCCCACGGCAUAUUUUCCCAGCACAUGCAGCAUUGGGAACUUGAACGUCCCUCUGCUUUUCCUUGGUGAGACCCACCAGCCCCGCCUUAGGAAGGAGGCUGAACAUUUGACGGAGCUUUCCUGUCACCUGUGAGCGACGUGCACGCUGCUUCCGAAGAAAGAGACAUCCCCCUACUGUUUUCUCACAGUGGGAUGAUUCAACUUUUUCUUUCUCACAAUCCCAGAUAAUCAUAUCUUCCCAGGUUUUGUCAUCUUUGAGGACUACUCACUAUCUAGUUAUGAGUCAAACAAAACCCAAUUUAACUGAUAACUAACCAGCCAUCACGUAUCCCUGAAGAUAAACCUGGUUUAUCCUUUUUAUACCCUCUGGCAGAGCAAAGGAACAAGGAGUUUGGGAGAGAAAAAAAAACACAACACUAGAAACAGCACUGACACAGGUCGUUAAAUACAGAUGUGACCAGCCUUGAUUACAAGUGUUGUCAUCCUCUUUUAACAGGGACCUACCCCGAACUUUCAUGAACCCCUGGUAGCUGAAUAGCAGCUUGUCUAAGCGAGGUGCAGGGAUUUUGUCAAAGUCGGCCUCGGUGUUAAAGGCAGGGCCACCUACCAUGAACUUCUCUCUGUGACUUUAUUCUUUAGCAGUGCUCAAGUGUAAAUAAACUUGUUUACCAGGAUCAGAAUGGCCAUGUUAAUGAAGUCUUAUUUGUGUCACCACAAUGACAAGUAAUUUGUGCACAGCUGGACUCGGAGAGGGGACAAAACCAGAGAAAUUGUAUUUCUGUUCUGAAGUUUCCAUACAGAUGCCUUAGGCCAAAGUUAGUACAGCCAAUAUUUGCCUGUUUCUUUGGAUUGUGUGUCCAUGCUGGAGAAAAGCCUUGUUACUGUGCCCAGUGUGGUAAACGAAAUUAUAUGUACGCAGUGAGAAGAAAAAUGAAAUAAGAAGCACUGAUGAAUGUACCCACGGGUGUGACCUUGGGGGCCAGUGUGUGGUUUUUAUGAAAUGAACGCAUGAAUACGAGGACCCUAAUUAUUGCUUUCAACGGACAAAGUAUGGUGAAUAUAUAGAGAACGUUGCUGUACAACACUGGCUGUGUCUCAAAGCGGCUUUAGAAGUAAAUAUAGAAAUUCUUUGGUACAUGGUAUUGCAUAGAAAAGUCAUUAAGAAAAAAGCAAGACAAUUUGUUAAGACCUUGUUAAGUGGAGCUGGGGGAUGAUUAAUUUUGUUUGUUUGUUUUUGUUGUUCCCUGGUAGAGCUCAACAAACUACAGACCACGGGCCAAAUCUGACCCACCGCUGCUUUUGUAAAUAAAACUUUAUUGGAAAAAA